GAAAGCACAAAGGGCAUAUGGUGGAUGCCUACGCACCAAAUGGCGAUGAAAGACGUGGCGAACUGCGAUAAGCCUCGGCGAGCUGUAAGCGAGCUUAGACCCGGGGAUUUCUGAAUGGGGCAACCCGGCAGGUUGAAGACCUGUCAUUCCGCAAGGAAGGCGAACGGCGUGAACUGAAACAUCUUAGUAGCGCCAGGAAGAGAAAAUAACAAUGAUUCCCUCAGUAGUGGCGAGCGAACGGGGAUUAGCCUAAACCGGCCAUAAGGUCGGGGUAGUGGGACAGCGAUGUCUGAUUAACGAGUAUAGACGAACCGAUCUGGAAAGUUCGACCGUAGGGGGUGAAAGUCCCGUAGUCGAAAUGUUUGUUAAUUGGUAGCUGAAUCCCGAGUAGCCCGGGACACGAGAAAUCUUGGGUGAAUCCGCGAGGACCAUCUCGUAAGGCUAAAUACAUUUGGUGACUGAUAGCGUAGCAGUACCGUGAGGGAAAGGUGAAAAGCACCCCGGGAGGGGAGUGAAAUAGAACCUGAAACCGUAUGCCUACAAGCGGUCAGAGCAGGAUUUCGGUCUUGUGAUGGCGUGCCUUUUGCAUAAUGAGCCAACGAGUUAAUGUCAUAAGCGAGGUUAAGUAUUACAGGUACGAAGCCGAAGCGAAAGCGAGUCUUAAUAGGGCGACUAGUUUAUGGUAUUAGACCCGAAACCAGGUGAUCUACCCAUGGUCAGGUUGAAGGUUGGGUAAAACCAACUGGAGGACCGCACCAACCGUCGUUGAAAAGGCGGUGGAUGAACUGUGGGUAGGGGUGAAAGGCCAAACAAACCUGGAGAUAGCUGGUUCUCUCCGAAACAUAUUUAGGUAUGGCCUCACUGGAGAUUAACGGAGGUAGAGCACUGAAUGGGCUAGGGGGCUUACACGCUUACUGAACCCAAUCAAACUCCGAAUGCCGUUAAUUGCUCAGUGGGAGACAGGGCGCGAGCGAUAAGGUUCGCGUGCGAGAGGGGAACAACCCAGACUGUCAGCUAAGGCCCCCAAAUAGAUGCUUAGUGCGUAAGGAUGUUCAAUUGCCCAGACAGCCAGGAUCUUGGCUUAGAAGCAGCCACGAUUUAAAGAGUGCGUAACAGCUCACUGGUCGAGUGGUAGAGCACCGAAGAUGAUCGGGACUAGAAAGCAUCUUGCCGAAGCUACGGAUUUACGUUUUAGGACGUGAGUGGUAGGAGAGCAUUGUGAACAGCGUCGAAGGUGUAUUGUAAAGUAUGCUGGAGCGUUCACAAGAGACCAUGUUGGCAUGAGUAACGAUAAUGCGGGUGAGAAACCCGCACACCAUAAGCCCAAGGAUUCCUGAGUAAAGUUAAUCUUCUCAGGGUUAGUCGGCCCCUAAGGUAUAGCGAUAAGGCGAAGCUGAUGGGAAUCAGGUUAAUAUUCCUGAACCUCUGUAUUGAGUGAUGGAGUGACGCAACGGUGCAGCGGGGACAGCUGCUGGAAUAGCUGUUGAAUGCAUGUAGGAAGUGACACAGGCAAAUCCGUGUCGCAAUAUUCCGAGGUGUAGGACGAGGCGUAUGCCGCAAAGUCCGCUUACAAACGUUGCCUAGAAAUAGCUUCUAAACUUAUCAAUACAGAGACCGUACCGCAAACCGACUCAGGUGGGCGAGGAGAGUAUCCUCAGGUGUUCGAGCGAACUCUGGUUAAGGAACUAGGCAAAAUAACCCCGUAACUUCGGGAGAAGGGGUACCCCAUUAUUGUGAUCGGCCUGCGCCGUGAGCAAGAAGGGGUCGCAGUGAAGAGGCCCAAGCGACUGUUUAUCAAAAACACAGGUCUAUGCGAAGGCGAAAGCCACGGUAUAUAGACUGACACCUGCCCGGUGCCGGAAGGUUAAAUGGAGAGGUUAGCAGCAAUGCGAAGCUUCGAAAUGAAGCCCCGGUAAACGGCGGCCGUAACUAUAACGGUCCUAAGGUAGCGAAAUUCCUUGUCGGGUAAGUUCCGACCUGCACGAAUGGUGCAACGAUUUGGGCGCUGUCUCAACCAGGGGCUCGGUGAAAUUGAAGUAGCGGUGAAGAUGCCGCUUACCCGCGAACGGACGGAAAGACCCCGUGAACCUUUACUGUAGCUUGGCAUUGUAAAUUGGUGCAGUAUGUGUAGGAUAGGUGGGAGGCUAUGAAGCGUGCACGCUAGUGUGUGUGGAGCCAACGUUGAAAUACCACCCUUAUUGUAUUGAUUUACUAACGAUUGUAAAGCAAUCGGACAUUGCCAGGUGGGCAGUUUGACUGGGGCGGUCGCCUCCGAAAAAGUAACGGAGGCUUACCAAGGUUCCCUCCGGCUGGUUGGUAAUCAGCCAUAGAGCAUAAAGGUAUAAGGGAGCUUAACUGCGAGACUGACGGGUCGAGCAGAUGGGAAACCAGGUCUUAGUGAUCCGGCGGUCCUGAAUGGAAGGGCCGUUGCUCAAAGGAUAAAAGGUACUCCGGGGAUAACAGGCUGAUACCGCCCAAGAGUUCAUAUCG
rnacentral:rRNA from 1 species